rnacentral:rRNA from 1 species
GUUCAGCACUAAGUCACUUUGUCUUUAUGGCAAAUGUGAGAUGCAGUGUAUGGAAUGUCAAAUUUCUAGUAUGAGAAAUUAACGAUUUAAGUCCUUCUUAAAUGAGGCCAUUUACCCAUAGAGGGUGCCAGGCCCGUAUAACGUUAAUGAUUACUAGAUGGCAUUUCCAAAGAGUCGUGUUGCUUGAUAGUGCAGCACUAAGUGGGUGGUAAACUCCAUCUAAAACUAAAUAUAACCAUGAGACCGAUAGUAAACAAGUACCGUGAGGGAAAGUUGAAAAGAACUCUGAAUAGAGAGUUAAAUAGUACGUGAAACUGCUUAGAGGUUAAGCCCGAUGAACCUGAAUAUCCAUUAUGGAAAAUUCAUCAUCAUGAUUUUAAUAUUAAUAAUAUUAUAAUAAUGGUGUGCAUUUUUUCUAUAACGGACAUUGUAAUCUAUUAACAUAAAUAUAUUUAUCAUAAGAUCAAUGAUGCGUAAGUUUAUUCAAAUUAUUUUGCUUGCAAUUUAACAUAGAAUAAAUGCUCUUGAUUUGAUAAAGUGUUGAUAGAUUUAUUGUAUAUAGUGCUUAAAUAUUUAUAUUUUAUAAUAGCAUAUUAAUCAUUGAUUUUUAUGUUUAUUAUAUGCACUUAUAUGAUUAACAAUGCGAAAGAUUCAGGAUACCUUCGGGACCCGUCUUGAAACACGGACCAAGGAGUCUAACAUAUUUGCAAGUUAUUGGGUAUCAAAACCUAAUAGCGAAAUUAACAUAACUUUAAUGGGAUUAGUUUUUAGAUUAUUUAUAGUCUAUUAAUUCAAUCCCGGGGCGUUCUAUAGUUAUGUAUAAUAAUAUUUAUAUUAUUUAUACCUCUAACUAGAGCGUACCUUGAGCAUAUAUGCUGUGACCCGAAAGAUGGUGAACUAUACUUGAUCAGGUUGAAGUCAGGGGAAACCCUG